rnacentral:rRNA from 1 species
GGGUUGUGAGGUUAAGCGACUAAGCGUACACGGUGGAUGCCCUGGCAGUCAGAGGCGAUGAAGGACGUGCUAAUCUGCGAUAAGCGUCGGUAAGGUGAUAUGAACCGUUAUAACCGGCGAUUUCCGAAUGGGGAAACCCAGUGUGAUUCGUCACACUAUCAUUAACUGAAUCCAUAGGUUAAUGAGGCGAACCGGGGGAACUGAAACAUCUAAGUACCCCGAGGAAAAGAAAUCAACCGAGAUUCCCCCAGUAGCGGCGAGCGAACGGGGAGCAGCCCAGAGCCUGAAUCAGUGUGUGUGUUAGUGGAAGCGUCUGGAAAGGCGCGCGAUA